CGUGGGUAACCUGCCCAAGAGAUCGGGAUAACACCUGGAAACAGAUGCUAAUACCGGAUAACAACAGAUGAUGCCUAUCAACUGUUUAAAAGAUGGUUCUGCUAUCACUCUUGGAUGGACCUGCGGUGCAUUAGCUAGUUGGUAGGGUAACGGCCUACCGAGGCGAUGAUGCAUAGCCGAGUUGAGAGACUGAUCGGCCACAUUGGGACUGAGACACGGCCCAAACUCCUACGGGAGGCAGCAGGC
rnacentral:rRNA from 1 species